UGUAAUCAUCUCGUUAUUAACUUUGAUAAUCUGGAGGUUAUUGACACCAUGAAGAAUGGAGGACAUUCUGCUAUAGCGGCGACGGUUGUUUUUGAUGAUUGUUAUUAUAUUGCUUGUGAAUAUUCCCUCACUUGCUUUUAACAUUGUAAUAGGAAAGCAAAUAAGGUUGCUCAUGAGCUUGCUAGGCUAGCCAGAUUUUCUUCGACUAAGGAUUGGUUCGAGGAGCCUCUGAGUGAAAUUGUACCGCUCCUCAUAAACGAUGUAAUUGUUAAUUCAAACGAACUUGUGUUCUUUAUUAAAAAAUAA
rnacentral:rRNA from 1 species